rnacentral:rRNA from 1 species
GACGAACGCUGGCGGCGUGCUUAACACAUGCAAGUCGAGCGGAAAGGCCCUUCGGGGUACUCGAGUGGCGAACGGGUGAGUAACACGUGGGUGAUCUGCCCUGCACUUUGGGAUAAGCCUGGGAAACUGGGUCUAAUACCGAAUAGGACCACGCGCUUCAUGGUGUGUGGUGGAAAGCUUUUGCGGUGUGGGAUGGGCCCGCGGCCUAUCAGCUUGUUGGUGGGGUAAUGGCCUACCAAGGCGACGACGGGUAGCCGGCCUGAGAGGGUGACCGGCCACACUGGGACUGAGAUACGGCCCAGACUCCUACGGGAGGCAGCAGUGGGGAAUAUUGCACAAUGGGCGCAAGCCUGAUGCAGCGACGCCGCGUGAGGGAUGACGGCCUUCGGGUUGUAAACCUCUUUCAAUAGGGACGAAGCGCAAGUGACGGUACCUAUAGAAGAAGCACCGGCCAACUACGUG